GCCUGACUUGAGAGAGAGAGAGUUUAGUUUCGGUUUUGGCUUUGGAGGCUGGGAGAGACAAUAAUUCCUGUUGAAAUCCCCAUUCUCUCAAAGUGAGUUUGUACCACUCUGAAUCUAUGGCUGCAUGAAUCUGGCAGCUCCAGCACUGCAGUGCCCAUCGUCUACAGAGAGAGCCAAUCUGGGACCCCAGGGAGAUUUCAAAACAGGAAACAAAUCCAAUUUUCCUGUUCUCAAUAAAGUCACCCCCUCUAUCAUGCAGAUAUUUUUGGUGAGUCAUUCUUUUGCUGGACUUUGUCUCAUCUAAUACCAUUGUUGUCAGUGCAAGCUUGAAAACUGUGUCUGCUGGGAUGAUUCAGCACAGUUUACAUUUUGCCUUGUUGACAUCUCUGUGAAGAACAUGGCUCUGAG